rnacentral:rRNA from 1 species
UACGGAGGAUCCAAGCGUUAUCCGGAUUUAUUGGGUUUAAAGGGUGCGUAGGCGGCCUGUUAAGUCAGGGGUGAAAGACGGUAGCUCAACUAUCGCAGUGCCCUUGAUACUGAUGGGCUUGAAUUGACUAGAGGUAGGCGGAAUGUGACAAGUAGCGGUGAAAUGCAUAGAUAUGACAUAGAACACCAAUUGCGAAGGCAGCUUACUACACAGUUAUUGACGCUGAGGCACGAAAGCGUGGGGAUCAAACAGG